rnacentral:rRNA from 1 species
AAAGAAAAUAACAAUGAUUCCCCUAGUAACGGCGAGUGAAGAGGGAUAAGCUCAAAUUUUAAAUCUGAUCGGUUCUACUUAUCAGAAUUGUAAUUUGAAGAAACGUUUUCUGUAUCUUGAAUUAGCCUAAAUCUUUUGGAACAAGGUAUCAUGGAGGGUGACAAUCCCGUUCAUGGUUAAUUUUAAGGUGCUUUACGAUACGUUUUCUAAGAGUCGAGUUGUUUGGGAUUGCAGCUCAAAAUGGGAGGUAAAUUUCUCCUAAAGCUAAAUAUUGGCGAGAGACCGAUAGCGAACAAGUACCGUGAGGGAAAGAUGAAAAGAACUUUGAAAAGAGAGUUAAACAGUACGUGAAAUUGUUGAAAGGGAAACGAUUGAAGUCAGUCGUACUAACGGGAAAUCAACCUUUUGGAGUCGUAAAUUUUGGAUUUUGAAGAGUUUAAACCUUCGGGUUCAAAUAUUUGCACUUUUUAGGCGUAAUUUCUCGUUCGGUAGGUUAACAUCGAUUUUGAACAUUAUAAAAUGAUCGGAGGAAUGUAGCUUCGAUCUCGUAUUGAAGUGUUAUAGCCUUUGGUAGAUGUAAUUAUCGAGAUCGAGGAUUGCAACGAAUACCCUUUGGGCUAUCCGUCUGAUCUCUGAUACGUUGCCUCGGUAACGAAAGCGUGCUUACGGUAUUGAGGUAUUACGGUCAAAAGGUUAGAACGUGAUUAAAUUCGUUAAGGAUGUUG